UUUUCAUUAUGCCUUUUCAUACUGUAACACUUUAUUUGCUUUUAACAUCAUUAGUAAAUGGAUGGAUUCCUUUGACCAGCACUAUACUGGUUAUGUCAUUUAUUAAAGAAAGAAACCAUGUUGUCUAUGAGUAAGAAACAUUUAGAAACAAAAAGUUACCUUGCUAGAUAAUUUCCUAAAACCUAAUAAUAUAUAAGCAGUCAUUAAACACUUGUUUAUAUUCCUUAAUCAAAUAUCACUCUCUAAGAAGUUUUACAUUGCAGUACCCAAUAAAGUUGAUUUAUAUGCACUCUGCCAAAAUGACAGCUUUCAUUGAUACUUGAGUGCUUUUCAUAGUCUGGCAUUUCUCACCACUCUUGAAUUUGCUUCUGCUUAUAUAUCCCGGCCUGUACCUGAGGUGAUUGCAUCUCAGACCCACAUUCUGCCUGUAAAUUUGAGAGUUCUUCACCUGAUACUCUAAAUAAGAAAAACUGUUCUGUGAGUCUGACCUUUUGAUUGGUCUUCAGUCCCUGCUGUCUUUUAGGAAGAUGGUUAGAUGUAGCUUAUGUUCCAGGGCCUCAAGUACUUGGUUAAGCCAAAGACAGAAUAGUUCACAUUUUCAUCUAAUCAUAGAAUUUAGAGAUGGAAAGAACUAUUUUAUGACUUAUCAGAGGAUACUCUGAUGUCAUUACUCUCUCGUACCACUACCAGUUCACCUUCUUUAUUACAGCAAAAUCCUUUCAUAGCUAAAACUCAUCUGCUAUUGCUAUGGAUUUUCUCUGAGGACCUAAUAAACUACCCUUUCUUUAAGGUCAAGCUAGAUGUCUAAAUUGGAAAAUUCGACUAUCUGGGAAGCAAUUGUCCAUGUAGAAACUUUUUAAAAGUUAUAUGUUAGUUUAAUGUAGGUCCUUCACUGACACAUUCUAAAAUCUGAACAUUGAAAAACAGAGAGAUUCAAUAGAGAAAAAUAAAAUAUUAGAACUCUAAAAUAUUAAGAAAUGGGUUUAUUGUUGUUUUAUACAAAGAGGCCAAGUGUGGCUAAAUUCUUUAUUCUUAUGAACAUGCCGAGUAAUGUUUGCUUGCCUCAGAAAAGUUCUAGAAAAGGACCAUAGUCUAAAUUUAGCCAUUGUGCCUGGGUUACAGGAUGAUUUGAAGCUGUAGAAGAGAGAGCGUUUGUGGAGAGCAUUUAUUGUUGUUAGGUAGGGAACUGAUCAGUAAGACUCUUGUGCUUAACUUUGAGUUUGGAAUCUGUGACAAACACGCUCUCUCUCUUAAGUAGACUAAUACCCUCAUUAUUACCGUAAACCAUCCUUACAAGUUCAGGUAUGUGUAGAGGGGCUGCAAAAAUCUAAGACCUUGCUCUACGCAGCACCUGUGUGCUCCUGGCAGUGAUUAGCAAGAACGGCUCUUCCAUUCAUGUGGGUUGAGGGAGGGUGUGAGAUUUCAGUUGUGUUCAAUUUAUCUCCUUUUAUAGUUCUUGACUACUGUUUGCAUAGCUGUAUCUUGAGGGUUUUAGCUAAAGUUUAAUCAUCUGGUCAACUUAUUCUCUGACUUUUAAUUUUAUUUUAGUAAGUAUAACAAUGAUAAAUUUAAGAGAAAUAAUCUACAUUUUCUAGGAGUUGCUUAAAAAGUAAUUAGUUCACAGUUGCUUUUGAAUCAAGAAGCCAUUUCCAGAGCUGCCACCCUCAGGGUGGUUAUGGCUGCUCUUGCCUGCUGAGGUAGGAAAUUAGUUUUGAGAAUUUUUAAUUCUUUGAAUUCUCUUGCUUCUUCUGAGUCAUCUAGUGAACUUCAUCAAUAAUAUAUUUAGUAAAACAAUUUCAAGUAGAGAGAUGGGAUGAAUUAAGUGUAUGGUGUGGGGAGAUCGCCUGCAUACACUUUAGAGCACCCUCCCAGGCGAGACUCUAGCAUUCUGCCUCUCUAGUGUCUGUGGUACAGACUAGACCAUUCUUUCUUUCACUUGGAACAUACUGUUUGAUAAUGUCCAUAUUUAUGAUUGCUCUAUUCCAUCUAUUUACAUGCAGUGUGCUCUUCCCUUCGUCAUUUCUUCCUUGGUGUCUACCUCGGCCCAGGGUCACAUGGCUAUGUCUUUUAUUCUUGUACUGCAGAACCUCUCCCUUUGCUGCAUUUACAUUCUAUCUUCUUCUUCUGGAAGACUCUUUAUAAUGUUAAAAAUGUUAGGAAUUUUGAUUUGUUGGCUAAAUUCUAAUUUCACAGAAGAUGCAUUAUCUUCUGUGAAGGCUGGGAUUUUUUUUACAGUCUUCACAUGCCCUCCAUUAGCGCCAAGUACAUAGUAGAAACUCAAUGUUUAUUGCAAGUUUAAUUUUAGAUAAAUUGGUGGAAGGUUUUCAUUGUGGUGUUUUAGAAUGAAUAUAUUUAAUUAUUCUGAGUUCCCUUAAGAUUAAAUUUUGACAAUGAAAGAGACACUAUACUGUUGAGUAAUGGAUUUUGUGGUCAUUCUUUUGUUGAAAGCAAGAUGCUAUUACAGGAUGCUCAAAAGUUAUCUGUGUCCUAUUAAUUGGAGUAACUGUCCCAAACAUAUGACACCAGUAGGCUUUAAAUAUUAUAACUAUGACUUCUGCCAAAUUCUGAAGAGUAAUUUGUAUGUAAAUAUUAAGUGAUAACCUGGCUUUAAAUGGCUGAAAAAUCAUAAAGAAAUAUGUUGAAAGUUGUUGCUAACAUACAAAAUAUAAGCAAUAGGACACUAUUACUAGUUUUUCUAUUUGAAUUAUGUGUCUCUACACU
rnacentral:lncRNA from 1 species